rnacentral:rRNA from 1 species
UCGUCCUACGGGGGGCAGCAGUGAGGAAUAUUGGUCAAUGGCCGUAAGGCUGAACCAGCCAAGUAGCGUGAGGGAAGACUGCCCUAUGGGUUGUAAACCUCUUUUGUCAGGGAACAAAGGCGGGGACUAGUCCCCGGAUGAGGGUACCUGAAGAAAAAGCAUCGGCUAACUCCGUGCCAGCAGCCGCGGUAAUACGGAGGAUGCGAGCGUUAUCCGGAUUUAUUGGGUUUAAAGGGUGCGCAGGCGGCCUGUUAAGUCAGCGGUAAAAGCCCGGGGCUCAACCCCGGCGAGCCGUUGAAACUGGC